GGGCCCGCACAAGCGGUGGAGCAUGUGGUUUAAUUCGAUGAUACGCGAGGAACCUUACCAGGGCUUAAAUGUAGUCUGACAGGGGUGGAAACACCUCCUCCUUCGGGCAGAUUACAAGGUGCUGCAUGGUUGUCGUCAGCUCGUGCCGUGAGGUGUCAGGUUAAGUCCUAUAACGAGCGCAACCCCUGCCGUUAGUUGCCAGCAUGUAAUGAUGGGAACUCUAACGGGACUGCCGGUGCAAACCGCGAGGAAGGUGGGGAUGACGUCAAAUCAUCACGGCCCUUACGUCCUGGGCUACACACGUGCUACAAUGGCCGGUACAGAGGGCAGCCACACCGCAAGGUGGAGCGAAUCCUUAAAACCGGUCUCAGUUCGGAUCGGGGUCUGCAACUCGGCCCCGUGAAGCUGGAAUCGCUAGUAAUCGGAUAUC
rnacentral:rRNA from 1 species